AGAUGUAGGUGGAGAGCACAAUGAACGUGAGACACAGAUGUGUGGGCAAGACAACAACAGCUUCCUUCUGCUUUACAUAAUACAGCUUUGCGCAGUGAUGAGCAACAGGAGCAGGGCUUCUCGGGUAAGGUACACUAAGACCUUCCUCUCCCUCUUCAGCAUCUUCCUCGAAUUGCUUCAUACAGCCCUAUAAGGCAGCACUGCAUAGAGAAGACAUUGCCUCCUGUCACAGAACAGUGGGUGUCACCUUUCAGAGACUUCAGGUAAGAGUGGUUUCUGCAAGUGACAAGUUGGUGCCCUUGAAACUGCAGUUCCAGUGGACUGGCAGAGUGGAGAGCAGAGUCCUCUGUCUCCAGGUAGUAUGGAUCUCAUUCCAGCCUGCAAGGGACAUCUCGGAAUCAUGAGAAUUAACUUAAUCAGAAGUGACUGGUGAUGCCGAAGGAAUCAUCUUCCCAGAUCUCAAACUUGGUAUCAACCAGGUUGUCUUACUCAGCCAGUCAGAGUGGACCUGGUGGAACCACAGCUGGUUCCCCAGGUGGCUGAGCUGGGAAACUGGUUUUAACUGGGCACUUCAGUGCACUGGAGUCCUUCUGUUCUGCAUCUACUAUUGGGGCUGCUCCAGUCUAUAUUUGGGCUUCCUUCCUUCUUCAUUUUCCUUAAACUUAUUUCAACAACAGAAACUAAUCCUGAGCAAUAGACUGAGUGGCAGCUUUCACUUUGAUAUUGGUUUUUCCUGGAUUCCUACAUUAAAGCUUUUAGGAUGAAUUA